UACGUAGGUGGCAAGCGUUGUCCGGAUUUACUGGGCGUAAAGAGCGCGCAGGCGGUCGUUCAAGUCGCGUGUGAAAGCCCCCGGCUCAACUGGGGAGGGUCACGCGAUACUGAUCGACUCGAAGGCAGGAGAGGGAAGUGGAAUUCCCGGUGUAGUGGUGAAAUGCGUAGAUAUCGGGAGGAACACCUGAGGCGAAGGCGGGCUACUGGGCCGAUACUGACGCUGAUGCGCGAAAGCCAGGGGAGCGAACGGG
rnacentral:rRNA from 1 species